AGUGAUGUAGUUUAGUUGGUUAAAAUCCCGGCCUGUCACGUCGGAGAGCGCGGGUUCGAGUCCCGUCAUCACUG
rnacentral:tRNA from 2 species